rnacentral:rRNA from 1 species
CCUACGGGAGGCAGCAGUGAGGAAUAUUGGUCAAUGGGCGGGAGCCUGAACCAGCCAAGUCGCGUGAAGGACGACGGUCCUAUGAGUUGUAAACUUCUUUUGUCUUGGAACAAAGGCGCCCACGGGUGGGCGGAUGAGUGUACCCGAAGAAAAAGCAUCGGCUAACUCCGUGCCAGCAGUCGCGGUAAUACGGAGGAUGCGAGCGUUAUCCGGAUUUAUUGGGUUUAAAGGGUGCGUAGGCGGACCGUCAAGUCAGCGGGAAAAAGGCGUUGUUCAAAGCCGUACCGCCGUUGAAACUGGCAGUCUUGAGAGGGCGAGCAGUAGGCGGAAUGUGUGGUGUAGCGGUGAAAUGCAUAGAUAUCACGCAGAACUCCGAUUGCGAAGGCAGCAUACCGGCGUCCUACUGACGAUGAGGCACGAAAGCGUGGGUAUCGAACAGGAUUAGAUACCCCUGUAGUC